rnacentral:rRNA from 1 species
GACGAACCGUGCGAACGUUGUUCGGAAUCACUGGGCUUAAAGGGCGCGUAGGCGGGUCGGAAAGUCCGCGGUGAAAUCCCCCCGCUCAACGGGGGAACGGCCGCGGAUACUGCCGGCCUCGAGGGGGGUAGGGGCGAGCGGAACGCUGGGUGGAGCGGUGAAAUGCGUUGAUAUCCAGCGGAACUCCGGUGGCGAAGGCGGCUCGCUGGACCCCCACUGACGCUGAGGCGCGAAAGCUAGGGGAGCAAACGGG